rnacentral:rRNA from 1 species
GACGAACGCUGGCGGCGUGCUUAACACAUGCAAGUCGAACGGAAAGGCCUGCUUUCCCUUGUGGAUUGCGGGUACUCGAGUGGCGAACGGGUGAGUAACACGUGAGUGAUCUGCCCCCAACUUGGGUAUAAGCCUGGGAAACUGGGUCUAAUUCCCGAUAGGACUGCAGGGUGGUGCCUGUGGUGGAAAACGAUUUUCUAGUGGUUGGGGAUGAGCUCGCGGCCUAUCAGCUUGUUGGUGGGGUAAUGGCCUACCAAGGCGGCGACGGGUAGCCGGCCUGAGAGGGUGGACGGCCACAUUGGGACUGAGAUACGGCCCAGACUCCUACGGGAGGCAGCAGUGGGGAAUAUUGCACAAUGGGCGGAAGCCUGAUGCAGCGACGCCGCGUGGGGGAUGACGGCCUUCGGGUCGUAAACUCCUUUCGACCGCGAGGAAGCCACCUGGUUGGAAGGGUGGUGACGGUAGUGGUAGAAGAAGCACCGGCUAACUACGUG